rnacentral:rRNA from 1 species
GAUGAACGCUGGCUACAGGCUUAACACAUGCAAGUCGAGGGGAAACGACGGGGAAGCUUGCUUCCCCGGGCGUCGACCGGCGCACGGGUGAGUAACGCGUAUCCAACCUGCCUCUGACUGAGGGAUAACCCGUCGAAAGUCGGCCUAAUACCUCAUGGCAUCGUCUGCGGGCAUCCAACGACGAUUAAAGAUUUCAUCGGUCAGGGAUGGGGAUGCGUCUGAUUAGCUUGUUGGCGGGGUAACGGCCCACCAAGGCUACGAUCAGUAGGGGUUCUGAGAGGAAGGUCCCCCACAUUGGAACUGAGACACGGUCCAAACUCCUACGGGAGGCAGCAGUGAGGAAUAUUGGUCAAUGGGCGGGAGCCUGAACCAGCCAAGUAGCGUGCAGGAAGACGGCCCUAUGGGUUGUNAACUGCUUUUAUGCGGGGAUAAAGUGAGGGACGUGUCCUUCAUUGCANGUACCGCAUGAAUAAGGACCGGCUAAUUCCGUGCCAGCAGCCGCGGUAAAUACGAAGGUCCUGGNCGUAUCCGGAUUUUGGGUUAAAGGGAGCGUAAGCCGUGGAUUAGCGUGUUGUGAAAUGCAGGUGCUCAACGUCUGCACUGCAGCGCGAACUGGUCCACUAGAGUGUGCGCAACGCAGGCGGAAUUCGUCGUGUAGCGGUGAAAUGCUUAGAUAUGACGAAGAACUCCGAUUGCGAAGGCAGCCUGCGGGAGCACAACUGACGCUGAAGCUCGAAAGUGCGGGUAUCGAACAGGAUUAGAUACCCUGGUAGUCCGCACGGUAAACGAUGGAUGCCCGUUGUCAGGCUGUUUCAGCCUGGUGACCAAGCGAAAGCAUUAAGCAUCCCACCUGGGGAGUACGCCGGCAACGGUGAAACUCAAAGGAAUUGACGGGGGCCCGCACAAGCGGAGGAACAUGUGGUUUAAUUCGAUGAUACGCGAGGAACCUUACCCGGGCUUGAAUUGCAGACGAACGAUUCAGAGAUGAUGAGGCCUUUCGGGGCGUCUGUGAAGGUGCUGCAUGGUUGUCGUCAGCUCGUGCCGUGAGGUGUCGGCUUAAGUGCCAUAACGAGCGCAACCCCUUUCUUCAGUUGCCAUCAGGUGAUGCUGGGCACUCUGUAGACACUGCCACCGCAAGGUGUGAGGAAGGUGGGGAUGACGUCAAAUCAGCACGGCCCUUACGUCCGGGGCUACACACGUGUUACAAUGGCCGGUACAGAGAGUUGAUUUUGUGCAAACACGAUCCAAUCCUUAAAUCCGGUCCCAGUUCGGACUGGGGUCUGCAACCCGACCCCACGAAGCUGGAUUCGCUAGUAAUCGCGCAUCAGCCAUGGCGCGGUGAAUACGUUCCCGGGCCU